GACGCCAGUUACAACUCACCAGUGCCAAGGGGCAACUGCUUUCUAAAGCUCCGGAAAGUUGACACUCUGAUGAAAUAAAUUAAUUAUUACAAUAAUUUAUAUCGUUUGCAAAUGGUUUGCAUGUGAAAGCUAGCUAAAAAUUUCUGUUUGCAAGUGCUCCAAAAUUUUUUUAUGAAUUUUUUAAAAAAUUAUAAAAUGUGGUGCUAUCUUUCCGAAAGUUGGCACCAUAUUUUCCGAAAAUAAAUGAUAGACGGUUCGGCAGGGGCUUAAUGGAUGCGGAAUCGUUUGCAAGAGAUUGAUAGUGAAACUAUUAAUAGUUUGCAUUAUUUUUCUUGUCAUAAAUUAAUAAUAACAGCUGGCGUUAAAAAGUGACAGGAGUUUCUGGCUUCAACGACGAGGGGGCGCCACCAUGCCAGCAAAAUACUAAUCAUUCUGGAAAAGGCUUAAUCUAACAUUGAUGAUUCAUCGAGCACGUAAACCAAUCCCAUCGGCUUCAUAUACUUA